CCUACGGGUGGCAGCAGUCGAGAAUCAUUCACAAUGGGGGAAACCCUGAUGGUGCGACGCCGCGUGGGGGAAUGAAGGUCUUCGGAUUGUAAACCCCUGUCAUGUGGGAGCAAAUUAAAAAGAUAGUACCACACGAGGAAGAGACGGCUAACUCGGUGCCAGCAGCCGCGGUAAUACAGAGGUCUCAAGCGUUGUUCGGAAUCACUGGGCGUAAAGCGUGCGUAGGCUGUUUCGUAAGUCGUGUGUGAAAGGCGCGGGCUCAACCCGCGGACGGCACAUGAUACUGCGAGACUAGAGUAAUGGAGGGGGAACCGGAAUUCUCGGUGUAGCAGUGAAAUGCGUAGAUAUCGAGAGGAACACUCGUGGCGAAGGCGGGUUCCUGGACAUUAACUGACGCUGAGGCACAAAGGCCAGGGGAGCGAAAGGGAUUAGAUACCCGUGUAGUC
rnacentral:rRNA from 1 species